rnacentral:rRNA from 1 species
CCUACGGGAGGCAGCAGUGAGGAAUAUUGGUCAAUGGACGAGAGUCUGAACCAGCCAAGUAGCGUGAAGGGUGACUGCCCUAUGGGUUGUAAACUUCUUUUAUAUGGGAAUAAAAUGUUCCACGUGUGGGAUUUUGUAUGUACCAUAUGAAUAAGGAUCGGCUAACUCCGUGCCAGCAGCCGCGGUAAUACGGAGGAUCCGAGCGUUAUCCGGAUUUAUUGGGUUUAAAGGGAGCGUAGGUGGAUUGUUAAGUCAGUUGUGAAAGUUUGCGGCUCAACCGUAAAAUUGCAGUUGAAACUGGCAGUCUUGAGUACAGUAGAGGUGGGCGGAAUUCGUGGUGUAGCGGUGAAAUGCUUAGAUAUCACGAAGAACUCCGAUUGCGAAAGCAGUUCACUGGACUGCAACUGACACUGAGGCUCGAAAGUGUGGGUAUCAAACAGGAUUAGAUACCCUUGUAGUC